rnacentral:rRNA from 1 species
GAGCACGUAGGUGGGUUUGUAAGUCAGAUGUGAAAGCCUUCUGUUCAACGGAAGAAUUGCAUCUGAAACUACAAACCUUGAGUGUAGGAGGGGAGAAUGGAACUUCUGGUGGAGCGGUGAAAUGCGUAGAUAUCAGAAGGAACGCCGGCGGCGAAAGCGAUUCUCUGGCCUAUUACUGACACUCAGUGUGCGAAAGCUAGGGGAGCAAACGGGAUUAGAUACCCCGGUAGUCCUAGCCGUAAACGAUGGGCACUAAGUAGAGGGAAUUACCGAUGUUCUCUCUGCCGUAGCUAACGCAUUAAGUGCCCCGCCUGGGGAGUACGGCCGCAAGGCUAAAACUCAAAAGAAUUGACGGGGGCUCGCACAAGCGGUGGAGCAUGUGGCUUAAUUCGAUGCAGCGCGAAAAACCUUACCGGGGCUUGACAUGGUAGAAGUAGGAACCCGAAAGGGUAACGAACGGUAUCCAGUCCGUAGCUAUCACAGGUGUUGCAUGGCUGUCGUCAGCUCGUGUCGUGAGACGUUGGGUUAAGUCCCCUAACGAGCGAAACCCUUGUUUUUAGUUACCAGCGGGUUGUGCCGGGUACUCUAGAAAGACUGCCGUCGUCAAGACGGAGGAAGGUGGGGAUGACGUCAAGUCAUCAUGGCCCUUAUGCCCCGGGCUGCACACGUGCUACAAUGGUCGGUACAAACGGAAGCGAAGCCGAGAGGUGAAGCGAAUCC